rnacentral:lncRNA from 7 species
CGCAUAGCAGCGGGCUUGAAACUAGAUGAUCAUUGUGGUCCUUUUCAACCCAGGCCAUUCUGUGAUUCAUUCUAUGAUUCAUUAUGAUUUUGGCCCUUGUCCCAGAUCUUUUCUUUCAGUGUCCACUUUCUUCUGUCAUAGAGGACAAUUGUUAACAUUUCAAGCCAAAGCUGCUCCAACCUGAAAAUACACACUCAUAGCAGAAACUGGUCUGGAAGGUGAACUAAGCAUGCCUAGUAUGUGAGGGAACAGGGCUGCCUUAGGAGCUGCUACCUACGGAUGACUGCAGGAGCAAGUAACUGAAAACAGGCUGAUGGGUUGGAACACUGAAAACGUGGGUAAGAGAAUAACUGGAAAAGUCAUUUAGCCUCCGUUCCAUUACAAAUUGCACAAGUGAAUUUAUAUGUGAAAGGCAUAAUAUGUGGUUUUGUGAAAACACUUUUUGAAGACUAAAUGCACAUGGGAAAAAAAAAUCAGGAUAGGAAAGUAAGGACUUGGGAUAAAAUGGAAAAAUAAAUAACGAGGGAAAGUAUGACAGAUGAAAGUUUCCUGUGGAAUGAAAAAUAAUCAAAUAAUAUCAUUUUCUAGUCAUAUGCCAGCUGUUUGCAGAUCUGUCAUGGCAUACUGGUAGUGGCCAGUCAUUGGGUCUGUAGUUGCAUCAGACAGGUUGUGUUUUACUCUUUUCUACUCCUGGAUUUUCAUAGUAAACAGGCUGUGGAUUAAAGGCAGCAGUCUGCUCAAGUUCAGUAGUGAGCACAUCUGUUUCCAUUUGUUUGUAUUUCUUUUGGGGAAGCACAGUGCAGGAAGAAAAGUAAGCAGUCAUCUGCUUGGCUUAUCAGUUUAAAUUAAGUACUCAAACACAUAAAUUACAUGACACUUUUACCAGAGUAGCAAGUCCAGAUAGUUUGAUUUUGGAUUCUAUGAUAGAUAAUGAUGAGUCUUUAUGGUGAAAUCCAUUCUGAAGAAAAGGACUCACCCAGGUGAAAUACUAACUGCAUAAUAUGGACUUUACAUAAAGUGGAUGUAUUACACAGUGUCUAUUAAAAGUCUGCAAAAUUAGAAAAAUACCCAUAUUCUUCGGUGCUGAAUAUUGCACAAUAGUGUAGAAUCCCUCUUGGAGUUUCUGAUGUCUGUGUUGUGUUGUUGUUGCUGUUUGUAAAUUACCACAGGACCCACCAGCUGUCAUCAUAAAAAUUUUAUUGGCACUCUGUAAACAUUAAAUCAGCAUGCUAAAAUCAAGCCAUGUGCGGUAACAGCUGAUGCUCUGUUAUGGAGCACACAUGCAGGAUAGAAGUAUUCACCAUGACUCCCUGGAUUCCUGCUGCUUACAAGUCCCUUGCUUCAUGAGGCUGUGUUUCAGGAUUCAUUUUGUGCCCAGUUGUGCCCUUCAUUCAAUGUGCAGAAGGCUGUCUGUGCACAAAUAUCUCCUGGUUUGAGAAAUUCACCUUCUCAAUAGUACCUGCCUUCCUGGAUCCUUCUAAACUGUGCAGUUUGUUACUGCCACUUCUUUUCUUUGGCACCACUUCUUUUGGUUGCUUACUUCCACACAAACCUUGCUAACAUAUAUACGAGGCUCUUGUUAGCUUUAGAAUCAGAGACAAAUUCUUUCUGUCAUGAAGGACCACAUUUCUGACACAUAACAGAGGUCUGCGUUGAUGACACACGACAGUGAAAUGAGAUCAGCCCUGAUCCUGGCCCAGAAGUUUUGUCAGCCAUAAUGUCACAUCCUGAGGAUGAAUCAUUAGUCAGUUUAAAGGAAAAUAGCUCUUGGACUCCAUUUGCUUGCUCUCUCUUCGACCUAAUUACCGGAGAAAUCAAAGUCGGGGUACACUUUCUGAUCCAUCCGCCUCCAUGGUAGACAUGGUGAAAUCUACUGAUCUGCCAGCCAGCCCAGAGAGGUUACAUGGGGGCUAUAGUAGAAAUAGACCAAGCAGUAGUCUAAUUUGGUUAAUUUUCACCCAAGGCCCUCUGAAGGGACAAGGAGUUCAGCCAACAUGUCCUGCUGUAGACAUACGGGCAUUAGCACUUUGAACUUCUCUCUCUCUCCAAGGUUUACUGCUGGAAGCCCAGACAGGAUGACAGGAUGGUCAGAUGCCUCUGUAUCAAGGUUUGGAAUAUGAUUCAAGGCCUGCGUCAGCACUGCUGCAAACUGGCAGGUUUGUGCUUGCACACCCAGAGGAAGCAGGCAGAGAGCACUAGCCCUAGAUUGACCUCUUCUACAGGAGUUUGGCAGAUACUGGGGUGCAGAAAUACCAGCAACUCAGAAUAAGUUCCUAUUUUAGAAGCUGCACUGUAGGUUCUCAAAAAUAACACUUCUACUUCCUGUUCAGUCACAACAUUACAGGCAUACAGUAAAGUUGGCAAACAAAAUGAGGAUUUAAGGGAAAUACAUCAGAGCUGUUGUAUUUUAUGACCCUAGACUUGCAUGUCUCACGUAUAUGCCACUAUCAAACCUAAAGUAAAGGCCACAUUUUGAUAACUUAAGCUUUGCAUCAUGUGUGAAAAAAAAGAGAUGUGUUAGUCUAGCAAACUUUGGGAAGUGCUGGGGGAAGGAAAGAUAUUUUCAACAAACUUCUCAAACAUUGUUCUCAAGCCAAAAACACUAAAAGAAUUCAGCUUCAUGUAGCUUGCAAUUUCAGUGCUCUGUUCUCUACACAUUCCUUCUUCUACUGGGAAGAGUCAAUCUCAGCAGACUCUUAAGUUUGUAGAUAAUUCAUUCAUUAAUUUGAAAACUGAGCUAGUCUGUACCAGAUUUAUGAAAUAAUACGAGUAUGAGUGUAUUUGUGCUUUGAACUCAGGAAUGAUCUUGUUGGCUGUCAGCCACAAAUGUUAUUGCCAGAGAAAUUUAAUUGUGUCUUGGGUUUGGUGCCUUCCUGAAAUCUCAGGUGUGCCCAGGGAUGGAAGAUUCUCACACAGCUGUUUAAAGUGAAAUUGUAGGAAAUCUUGGCAUCUGCAACAAGAUCAGCUGUGAAGCAUGCCUUCAAAAUGUCCUUGAAUUAUAUUUAUAUAAGCAUGUGCAGUAUAAGGGAAUAAAAGCAGUGAGUCAAGAAAAACAGUGAAUUGUACAAAUGAUUGUAGAUAGUUAAUUAAGUCGCCUAAAAUUUUGAUUUGAAUCCUCACACCCUAUCUUCACUGCCCAACAAGUCUAGCUGAAAUAAAUGAUGUUUGGAUCUAAAAUUCCUC